rnacentral:tRNA from 1 species
GCCCGGCUGGCUCAGUGGGUAGACCAUGUGACUCUUGAUCUCAGGGUUAUGAAUUCAAGUCCCAUGCUGGGCA